rnacentral:rRNA from 1 species
UUGACGGUAUCGUAAGAAUAAGGAUCGGCUAACUCCGUGCCAGCAGCCGCGGUAAUACGGAGGAUCCAAGCGUUAUCCGGAAUCAUUGGGUUUAAAGGGUCCGUAGGCGGUUUUGUAAGUCAGUGGUGAAAGCCCAUCGCUCAACGGUGGAACGGCCAUUGAUACUGCUAGACUUGAAUUAUUAGGAAGUAACUAGAAUAUGUAGUGUAGCGGUGAAAUGCUUAGAGAUUACAUGGAAUACCAAUUGCGAAGGCAGGUUACUACUAAU